rnacentral:rRNA from 1 species
AGGCGAACAAGCUAACCAUCACGAGUCGAGCGGCAGCGCAGAAGAAGCUUGCUUCUUUGCGCUGGACGAGCGGCGGACGGGUGAGUAAAGUCUGGGAAACUGCCUGAUGGCGGGGGAUAACUACUGGAAACGGUAGCUAAUACCGCAUAAUGUCUUCGGACCAAAGAGGGGGACCUUCGGGCCUCUCGCCAUCGGAUGUGCCCAGAUGGGAUUAGCUGGUAGGUGGGGUAAUGGCUCACCUAGGCGACGAUCCCUAGCUGGUCUGAGAGGAUGACCAGCCACACUGGAACUGAGACACGGUCCAGACUCCUACGGGAGGCAGCAGUGGGGAAUAUUGCACAAUGGGGGAAACCCUGAUGCAGCCAUGCCGCGUGUGUGAAGAAGGCCUUCGGGUUGUAAAGCACUUUCAGCGGGGAGGAAGGCGACAAAGUUAAUAACUUUGUUCAUUGACGUUACCCGCAGAAGAAGCACCGGCUAACUCCGUGCCAGCAGCCGCGGUAAUACGGAGGGUGCAAGCGUUAAUCGGAAUGACUGGGCGUAAAGCGCACGCAGGCGGUCUGUUAAGUUGGAUGUGAAAUCCCCGGGCUUAACCUGGGAACUGCAUUCAAAACUGACAGGCUAGAGUCUCGUAGAGGGGGGUAGAAUUCCAGGUGUAGCGGUGAAAUGCGUAGAGAUCUGGAGGAAUACCGGUGGCGAAGGCGGCCCCCUGGACGAAGACUGACGCUCAGGUGCGAAAGCGUGGGGAGCAAACAGGAUUAGAUACCCUGGUAGUCCACGCUGUAAACGAUGUCGACUUGGAGGUUGCGGUCUAGAACUGUGGCUUCCGGAGCUAACGCGUUAAGUCGACCGCCUGGGGAGUACGGCCGCAAGGUUAAAACUCAAAUGAAUUGACGGGGCCCGCACAAGCGGUGGAGCAUGUGGUUUAAUUCGAUGCACGCGAAGAACCUUACCUACUCUUGACAUCCUCAGAAGAAACUGGAGACGGUUUGUGCCUUCGGGAACUGAGAGACAGUGCUGCAUGGCUGUCGUCAGCUCGUGUUGUGAAUGUGGGUAGUCCGCAACGAGCGCACCCUUAUCCUUUGUUGCCAGCACUUCGGGUGGGAACUCAAGGAGAACUGCCGGUGAUAAACCGGAGGAAGUUG